rnacentral:rRNA from 1 species
CCUACGGGAGGCAGCAGUGGGGAAUAUUGGGCAAUGGAGGAAACUCUGACCCAGCAACGCCGCGUGAAUGAUGAAGGUCUUCGGAUUGUAAAGUUCUUUUCUAAGGGAAGAAGAAAGUGACGGUACCUUAGGAAUAAGCCUCGGCUAACUACGUGCCAGCAGCCGCGGUAAUACGUAGGAGGCGAGCGUUAUCCGGAAUGACUGGGCGUAAAGGGUGCGUAGGUGGUUUGGCAAGUUAGUAGCGUAACUCCAAGGCUCAACCUUGGAACUACUACUAAAACUGUUGGACUUGAGUGCAGGAGGGGCAACCGGAAUUCCUAGUGUAGCGGUGGAAUGCUUAGAUAUCAGGAGGAACAUCGGUGGCGUAAGCGCUUUACUGGGCCGUAAUUGACGCUGAGGAACGAAAGCCAGGGUAGCAAAUGGGAUUAGAUACCCGAGUAGUC